AGUGAGACCCCCCCCCCCCAAGCUGUGAUUGGUGCAUCUGAACAGGAAGCGGUGGAUUUUUGCAAAUCCCACUCCAGGCUGUAGGCGGAGCCAGAGGAGCCGACCUUGAAAUUUUUUCUUUUAAUGA